rnacentral:rRNA from 1 species
GUCGUAACAAGGUAGCCGUAGGGGAACCUGUGGCUG